GGGAGGUGCGCGCCACGCAUUUGAGAGAGACGUUGAGCAGCGGGAAGGCAUACAUUUGAACAUCCGACAAGUCCUUGUCGAACAGUACCUCUCCCGUCGUCACCCACCUCGGAAGGUCUAGGCCGACGAAUUUCCCGGAUUUGGUAUCGGCGCAUAACACUAUAUAUCUCGAAGCGUUAUGGUAGGAGACAAAAACGUGAACAAAGCUGCCGCGCAAGCAGUAUCAAACUACCAAUUUGAUUAAGUUUCAAGUAUUAAACUUGUCUAAUCUAAUUGGAAGAACGAAUGGGUUUUUCUUGUUACUAAUAUUCUUAAUUAAUGUAUAAGUUGCCUAGUGUGGCAACAUCUCUAGGUUUCUUUAUCCGCCAUCAAAAGGGGAUCACAAAAUAAUAAAUUUGAGUAUGAUUCACAAUUAA